GUCACAAACUGGUCAAAAGACUCGCUAGCUCCCUGUACUUUCUCAUGGAAUUUGUACCUAGCGAAAAUUGUAUUAGUCUUCGGCACAACAUAUGCUUCAAAACGAUCGUAGUAUGUUUUCAGUACCUUUGAUUCAGCCUCGGGGACCCGUGAACAUUAGCUCCACAUGCUGUUUGUACUUACGCCAUGCAUCGGGAAUCUCUGUUUGCCAGAGACCACUGCCACACUAUGGGGUCUCUCCAGCCCUAUCCAGGCUGAUCCAAUAUAACCACUGUCUACAGUGUUGAUCUGUCUGUUCAUAUCCUCCAUGUUGUCUACGGUGGCCAGGACACCUACACCACCCGAUGUCACAGGAAGGCCAAAAAGAUCAUCAAGGACAACAACCACCCGAGCCACUGCCUGUUCACCCCGCUAUCAUCCAGAAGGCGAGGUCAGUACAGGUGCAUCAAAGCUGGGACCGAGAGUCUGAGAAACAGCUUCUAUCUCAAGGCCAUCAGACUGUUAAACAGCCAUCACUAACACUGAGUGGCUGCUGCCAACAUACUGACUCAAAUCUCUGGCCACUUUAAUAAUUAAAAAUUGGAUGUAAUAAAUGUAUCACUAGCCACUUUAAACAAUGCCACUUUAUAUAAUGUUUACAUACCCUACAUUACUCAUCUCAUGGUACUCUACACCAUCUACUGCAUCUUGCCUAUGUCGUUCGGCCAUCGCUCAUCCAUAUAUUUAUAUGUACAUAUUCUUAUUCAUUCCUUUACACUUGUGUGUAUAAGGUAGUUGUUGUGAAAUUGUUAGAUUACUUGUUAGAUUUUACUGCAUGGUCGAACUAGAAGGACAAGCAUUUCGCUACACUCGCAUUAACAUCUGCUAACCAUGUGUAUGUGACAAAUAUAAUUUGAUUUGAUUUGUGGAGACAAUGAACCAAGAUGAGGACAGACUUUAGACAAAACAUUUAUUUUAAUGGACUGUCUUUGAAAUAAUGUCAUUGUUUUUAACAUCAGAUAAUUAUACAUCAUACAAUUUAAAUGACUUAAAAACACAUUUAGUCUGAAAAUGUUUGGAGAAAAAAAUGUGGUUCUGCCAAGACGCACCCCUUUCAUUUACAGAUAAGUGCAGGGGCAAUACUUUUGUAAGCCAAUACAAGUUAGAGAAUCCACCUUUUAGAGCUGGCUAAACUUUUAUACUUACUGUCGUAGAGGAAGCGGGGUGAAGCUGGCCAUCUCCAAUCAUUCCAUUUCCUCUCUUGAAUGUAAACACAGCAGUGAUUGUUGUUAUCAUUAGUGGGUUGUGAAGGCCACCAGUAUCUGAAGGAGGAGUCACUCCCAUCCGACCACUUCCAGGAGUCUCUGAACAGGCCGAUCGACACUUUACUUCCCUUAGACACCAUCUUCUGUUUCUCCUGGUUCUCAGUCUGGUUCCUCACACUGGCCAGGUCUGUGUGGUACUCUCUGCAGUAACUCUGAGCUUCAGACUCGUUCUCUUCUCUCAAUGAAAACAUGGCUGUUAUUCUUACCUCAAAAUACCAUAGAAAAUAUAGAAUGAAUUUGUUAGUAGUGGCUACUGUUACUUUAAAUAUUUAUGGCUGCCUAUGACUGACGUUAUGUCUUAUGUAGCUGCUAUAAAGGCUUUAUGAAUGUACACUGAUCCAAAAAAUAAAGGGAACACUUAAACAACACAAUGUAACUCCAAGUCACUUCUGUGAAAUCAAACUGUCCACUUAGGAAGCAACACUGAUUGACAAUAAAUUUCACAUGCUGUUUUGCAAAUGGAAUAGACAACAGGUGGAAAUUUUAGGCAAUUAGCAAGACACCCCCAAUAAAGGAAUGGUUCUGCAGGUGGUGACCACAGACCACUUCUCAGUUCCUAUGCUUCCUGGCUGAUGUUUUGGUCACUUUUGAAGGCUGGCGGUGCUUUCACUCUAGUGGUAGCAUGAGACGGAGUCUACAACCCACACAAGUGGCUCAGGUAGUGCAGCUCAUCCAGGAUGGCACAUCAAUGUGAGCUGUGGCAAGAAGGUUUGCCGUGUCUGUCAGCG
rnacentral:lncRNA from 1 species